CCUACGGGAGGCAGCAGUAGGGAAUAUUGCUCAAUGGGGGAAACCCUGAAGCAGCCACGCCGCGUGGAGGAUGAAGGUUUUCGGAUUGUAAACUCCUUUUGAUAGAGAAGAUAAUGACGGUAUCUAACGAAUAAGCACCGGCUAACUCCGUGCCAGCAGCCGCGGUAAUACGGAGGGGGCAAGCGUUACUCGGAAUCACUGGGCGUAAAGAGCGCGUAGGCGGGAUAGCAAGUCAGAUGUGAAAUCCUAUGGCUUAACCAUAGAACUGCAUUGGAAACUGUUAUUCUAGAGUAUGGGAGAGGUAUGUGGAAUUCGUGGUGUAGGGGUAAAAUCCGUAGAGAUCAAGAGGAAUACUCAUUGCGAAGGCGACCUGCUAGAACAUAACUGACGCUGAUGCGCGAAAGCGUGGGGAGCGAACAGGAUUAGAUACCCGGGUAGUC
rnacentral:rRNA from 1 species